UACAGAGGUCUCAAGCGUUGUUCGGAUUCAUUGGGCGUAAAGGGUGCGUAGGCGGCGCGGUAAGUCGGGUGUGAAAUCUCGGAGCUUAACUCCGAAACUGCAUUCGAUACUGCCGUGCUUGAGGACUGGAGAGGAGACUGGAAUUUACGGUGUAGCGGUGAAAUGCGUAGAUAUCGUAAGGAAGACCAGUGGCGAAGGCGGGUCUCUGGACAGUGCCUGACGCUGAUGCACGAAGGCCAGGGGAGCAAACGGG
rnacentral:rRNA from 1 species